rnacentral:rRNA from 1 species
CGUAGGGUGCGAGCGUUAAUCGGAAUUACUGGGCGUAAAGCGUGCGCAGGCGGUUUGUUAAGAUAGGCGUGAAAUCCCCGGGCUCAACCUGGGAACUGCGCUUAUGACUGGCAAGCUAGAGUACGGCAGAGGGGGGUGGAAUUCCACGUGUAGCAGUGAAAUGCGUAGAGAUGUGGAGGAACACCAAUGGCGAAGGCAGCCCCCUGGGUCGAUACUGACGCUCAUGCACGAAAGCGUGGGUAGCAAACAGGAUUAGAUACCCUGGUAGUCCACGCCCUAAACGAUGUCAACCAGGUGUUGGGAGGGUAAAACCUUUUAGUACCGGAGCUAACGCGUGAAGUUGACCGCCUGGGGAGUACGGCCGCAAGGUUA